UUUUUGGUAAGAUGUUCUCUGACCAGCUCCAUUCGUUCGAAACUUUCAAAGAUUUGGGCCAUUUGAUUUUAAUACGUGUUGUGAUUUUCAUAUCACUCUUUUGGGCCAAACGGUACACCGCUAUUGGGCUUCAAAAUAAAACUUCCCAACGACUAAAUUAUUUGCGGCUACGAACACAUAUUUUAAACGAAUCAACCCUAUUAAAUACUAACGUGU
rnacentral:sRNA from 1 species